ACAACGUAACAGGGGGAGGGAGAAGAGAAACGUACCGAAACCCCCUGCGUCAACUCCCAAACGCCGUAACUUCUCCGUCCGAGCUCCGAUCGCCGCACCGUUUGCGGUCACGCGUCCACCGUGUCGAGCUCUACAUUUCUACCGGAACAAUUUCUUUGGAUCCAAUUAACUUGAGAAAAACAUUUACUCUUACUUAUGUGAAGCUUGGGUAAGGUUGUGAAUAAAUAAUUGGAGCUCGAAAUUGUGAAUACUGGAACUUGGAGGAAGCGGAUUAGUUGAGGUUUUGAGGACUGUGUUCUUUAGAAAAAAUUAUCUUGGAAUAAUACUUGGGAAUCGGCUAAGAUGCAGGUCGAGAGGCAUCUUGUUAGGCGUCUGGACUCUUAAAGCGGAGGUGGUUACUGGGUAGUUUUGUUGUACAGAUAUAUAUAAAUAUGUACUUAGCUUUCUCUCCGCUUAACUUGUUCUUUUUUAUCCUCUUAGAGGUUUAUGGAGAGACAGGAUUAUGUAUAUGUACUUUGGGUUUUGGAUAUAUAUAUAUAUUCUCCGGCUAGUCUUAACUUCGCGGGCUGAGUUAGGAGCUUGUUAUUUUGUAUCUUUGGCACUCUAUUCCUACUUCUGUUAUCAUAUGUUUAAUAGUUAUGUUUUCCUUAGCACGCAAGUUAACUC